CCUACGGGCGGCAGCAGUGGGGAAUAUUGGGCAAUGGGCGCAAGCCUGACCCAGCAACGCCGCGUGAAGGAAGAAGGCUUUCGGGUUGUAAACUUCUUUUCUGAGGGACGAAGAAAGUGACGGUACCUCAGGAAUAAGCCACGGCUAACUACGUUCCAGCAGCCGCGGUAAUACGUAGGUGGCAAGCGUUAUACGGAUUGCGUGGGUGAAAAGGGCGUGUAGGCGGGAAAGCAAGUCAGAUGUGAAAACUCAGGGCUCAACCCUGGGCCUGCCUUUGACACUGUUGUUCUUGAGUGCUGGAGAGGCAAGCGGAAUUCCGGGUGUAGCGGUGAAAUGCGUAGAUAUACGGAGGAACACCAGUGGCGAAGGCGGAUUGCUGGACAGUAACUGACGCUGAGGCGCGAAAGCGUGGGGAGCAAACAGGAUUAGAUACCCGAGUAGUC
rnacentral:rRNA from 1 species